rnacentral:rRNA from 1 species
AUUGAACGCUGGCGGCAGGCCUAACACAUGCAAGUCGAACGAAGUGGCGAACGGGUGAGUAACGCGUAAUCAACCUGCCCUUCAGGGGGGGACAACAGUUGGAACCGACUGCUAAUCCCGCAUACUGAUGGGGGGGAUUGCGUCUGAUUGGCUCGUUGGAGGGGUAACGUCCCACCAAGGCGAUGUCCAGUAGCCGGUCUUGGAGGAUGACCGGCCACAUUGGAACUGAGACACGGCCCAGACUCCUACGGGAGGCAGCAGGGGGGAAUAUUGGACAAUGGGCGAAAGCCUGAUCCAGCCAUGCCGCGUGUAUGAAGAAGGUCUUCGGAUUGUAAAGUACUUUAAGUUGGGAGGCGUUACCAACAGAAGAAGCACCGGCUAACUCCGUGCCAGCAGCCGCGGUAAUUC